rnacentral:misc_RNA from 1 species
CGGUAUAUGUAAGAUAUGUAUAAUUAUGAAAAUAUCGGAGCAUGAAAACGACAAAUUUUGGAUAAACCACAUCACGAUAGAUCGCCGCUCUUCUUACUCUCAUGCAGUGACAUAAUAUGGCGAUAUAGGGCAUACGGUAAGUAAGAAAAAAAUCAUCAGCUACAACCUACUACGGUCGCGAAUGACUCGAAUGAGCCCGCAUAACGUGUAGCAUAACAGUUACGGGUCAAAACGAACACGUGGGAAUCUAUUUGAUUUGAAAUUUUAAUGGUGAUUUUAUAGGUGGGGAUUCACCACGAUUAUUUGCGAUUUGGUACAAUCGCAAAAGCUAUAAUAAGGGGUACAGAAAUCUGCGGUACAUUUGGCUAACAGUGUCCAACCGGCCAGCAUCAGUCGUCGUGUUGUGUACUACAGUGAACAGUAAAGUAUUUUUAAUCUGGAGGACGGUUACGCAGGCAUCAAAGAUCGCUCUUCUCUUCGGGCUAAUCUAUCUGGUUAGCGGCAGAGUCAUCAACAGCUCUUUUCAACCACUUGGAAAACCUCGAACUACAUCGAGAAGCAACGAAUUGAUUGAUCAGCAAAAUUCACGAACGAGUGAUCAAGGAGCAAACAGAAAAGAAAGACUAUCCUUAGCAGAGUUCUCGACUUAUAGUUUGAAGGAACCAAAUGGACCCGGAACGUACGCUUUUGGCUACGAUAACGUGUUUGACGCGUUUGGCAAUCAACA